rnacentral:tRNA from 1 species
AAGGGUGUAGCUCAGUGACAGAGUGCAUGCUUAGCAUGGAGGAGAUCCUGGGUUCAAUCCCCAGUACCUCUA